GUAGGGAAUCUUGCGCAAUGGGCGAAAGCCUGACGCAGCCAUGCCGCGUGAAUGAUGAAGGUCUUAGGAUUGUAAAAUUCUUUCACCGGGGACGAUAAUGACGGUACCCGGAGAAGAAGCUCCGGCUAACUUCGUGCCAGCAGCCGCGGUAAUACGAAGGGGGCUAGCGUUGCUCGGAAUUACUGGGCGUAAAGGGCGCGUAGGCGGAUAUUUAAGUCGGGGGUGAAAGCCCGGGGCUCAACCUCGGAAUAGCCUUCGAUACUGGAUAUCUUGAGUACGGGAGAGGUGUGUGGAACUCCGAGUGUAGAGGUGAAAUUCGUAGAUAUUCGGAAGAACACCAGUGGCGAAGGCGACACACUGGCCCGUUACUGACGCUGAGGCGCGAAAGCGUGGGGAGCAAACAGGAUUAGAAACCCUUGUAGUCC
rnacentral:rRNA from 1 species